rnacentral:rRNA from 1 species
CAGCCGCCGCGGUAAUACCGAGGGUGCGAGCGUUAAUCGGAUUUACUGGGCGUAAAGCGUGCGUAGGCGGCUUUUUAAGUCGGAUGUGAAAUCCCUGAGCUUAACUUAUGAAUUGCAUUCGAUACUGGGAAGCUAGAGUAUUGGAGAGGAUGGUAGAAUUCCAGGUGUAGCGGUGAAAUGCGUAGAGAUCUGGAGGAAUACCGAUGGCGAAGGCAGCCAUCUGGCCUAAUACUGACGCUGAGGUACGAAAGCAUGGGGAGCAAACAGGAUUAGAUACCCCCGUAGUCCCUGUCUCUUAUAC